UGGGGAAUUUUGGACAAUGGGGGCAACCCUGAUCCAGCAAUGCCGCGUGAGUGAAGAAGGCCUUCGGGUUGUAAAGCUCUUUUGUCAGGGAAGAAACAGCAGCUCUAACACAGUUUGCGAAUGACGGUACCUGAAGAAUAAGCACCGGCUAACUACGUGCCAGCAGCCGCGGUAAUACGUAGGGUGCGAGCGUUAAUCGGAAUUACUGGGCGUAAAGCGUGCGCAGGCGGUUAUACAAGACAGGCGUGAAAUCCCCGGGCUUAACCUGGGAAUGGCGUCUGUGACUGUAUAGCUAGAGUGUGUCAGAGGGGGGUGGAAUUCCACGUGUAGCAGUGAAAUGCGUAGAUAUGUGGAGGAACACCAAUGGCGAAGGCAGCCCCCUGGGAUAACACUGACGCUCAUGCACGAAAGCGUGGGGAGCAAACAGGAUUAGAUACCCUGGUAGUCCACGCCCUAAACGAUGCUGACUAGUUGUUGGGAAUUUACAUUCUCAGUAACGUAGCUAACGCGUGAAGUCAGCCGCCUGGGA
rnacentral:rRNA from 1 species